AUAAAUAUAAACAAUAAUCACAUUUCACCUUCAUCUCUGAUAUUCGAAAUAAAGUUGAUGAAAAAAUCGCAACAAAAAUGGAAAAUGUGUGCCGAUUGUGUGGAUGUAAAAAAACUGGAAGGCAAUUAAUGCACAGCAUUGACGAUCAAUCAAUCGAACAGAAGCUAAUCGAUUGCUGUCGUUGGAAAUCAAAAUGUGAAACGUACAAUUUACCGCGAAAAAUUUGCAAUUCAUGCUCAAAAAAUUUGGAAAAAUGUUGGGAAUUUGCCGAGAAAGUCGCACAAACACAACAAAAUUUAUUGGCACAAAUAGCCAACACAAAACCAACGACACUUUCAUCGUACACAAAAUAUGAUUUUGAUCAAAAGGAAAUGAAAAAAGAGACUAUAGAGAAUAUGGAUGAUUUCGAACAAAAUCUUAGCGUAAAUGAUGUAGAACUUAAUGAAUUGAAAGAAGAUCUCAAAAUAUCGUACACAGAAAAUGUAGAUGAUUUUGAACAAAAUCUCAGUGUAAAUGACAUUAAAGACAUUGUCGAUGUGGCCAUGAGUCCGACCGUUCCAUUUGAUUACGAUGAUGAUUUUCAUGGAACAAUGUCCGAGGAAAAUUAUUCCGAACCGUCAACAAUUGAAGAUGCAAAGCCGAGCUUAAGUGAUAUUCAAUCGAUGGACGAAACCCCAAAUAAAAAGCACAAAUUCGAUAUCAGAUUAUUGUCGGUUGCAGACAAAAACGAUGAUGGAACAGUGAAGAGAGCGAAAAUUUUAGAAUUAGGUUUGCACGAUUGGUCAGAGAUAAAAUUGCGAUGCUGCAUGUGCCCGGAAACGUUUGAAACAUAUUAUACAUUGAGGCUGCAUUACGACCAAAAUCACAAUCCUCAAAGUAAACUUCGAGUUCUUUGCCAAUUUUGUGAUGCACCUUUUGUUGGACGAUCGGUUCUUAUGCAUGUUAGACGUGUUCAUUUACCUUAUCUGGAAUAUUGCUGUAGAAGAUGCAACAUGUUCUAUUGGGAUUUGGAUGCAUUAAAAAAACAUCAAAAUGGCAAGCAUACGAAGCCAAAGCCAGAAAAUAGGAUAAGCCACUUAUGUGAGAUGUGUGGAAAGAGCUGUGGUGGCAGAGCGGAAUUGCGACAACAUAAACGAUCACAUCUACCAAUUGAACAACGACGAACAUUCGAGUGUUAUGUUUGCAAAUCAAAAUAUACAUACAGAAAAAGCUUGAUACGUCACAUGGAACCGGCACAUUUCCAUCGGUCCGUUAAACAAUUUCAAUGUGAAGUGUGUGCAUUUCAGUUCAAAAGAGCCUAUGCACUGCGACGACAUUUAAUGAUCCAUUCCGGUGAACAUCCAUAUACGUGCCAUUGUGGCAAAAGUUUUCGCACAAAUUACCAUUUAAAAGUUCAUGAAAGAACACACACGGGUGAAAAGCCUUAUGCUUGUUCAUUUUGUGAAUAUCGCUGUUCAGCAGGGGAAAAUAUGACGAAACACAUCAAACAACGACAUAAAAAUCAUUUACAGAAGAAAUAACACACUUUUUUGGCGUUCGAAUCUCACUAUGUUUCACCUCAACAUAUGACAACGGCAUAAUUUUUAUGUAUUUAGUUUAGCAUUCUUUCGCCAUCUAUUGGAUUCUACAAUCCAUAUAAAUUGAAGCAUAUGAUGGGCUAUGUUUGACAGUAUCUUCUAGAAAUUGGUUGUCAAACA